rnacentral:rRNA from 1 species
UACAGAGGCCUCGAGCGUUAGGCGGAAUCACUGGGCUUAAAGCGUGUGUAGGCGGACUUCUAAGUGCCUUGUGAAAUCCCACGGCUCACCCGUGGAACGGCUGGGCAUACUGGGAGUCUUGAGCCACCUAGGGGCUGCCGGAACAAAUGGUGGAGCGGUGAAAUGCGUAGAUAUCAUUUGGAACGCCAACGGGGAAAUCAGGCAGCUGGGGGUGUGCUGACGCUGAGACACGAAAGCCAGGGGAGCGAACGGG